rnacentral:rRNA from 1 species
UACGGGGGGGGCAAGCGGUUGUUCGGAAUUACUGGGCGUAAAGGGCUCGUAGGCGGCCAACUAAGUCAGACGUGAAAUCCCUCGGCUUAACCGGGGAACUGCGUCUGAUACUGGAUGGCUUGAGAUUGGGAGAGGGAUGCGGAAUUCCAGGUGUAGCGGUGAAAUGCGUAGAUAUCUGGAGGAACACCGGUGGCGAAGGCGGUUCUCUGGGCCUGUACUGACGCUGAGGAGCGAAAGCGUGGGGAGCGAACAGG